UGCAUUAUAUAUUAUGAAUCUGCAUUAAAAAUAGCAUUUUAAAUGGUGAAUCCAUAAUUUUGGAUUCCCAAAACCAUAUUUGUGAUGUAUCCUGACUAAGACAGGUUGUUGGAGGAGUAUUAGAAGCAGAAUGAAACCGCUUAUUUUGGUUUCAUAAUAUGUACAUAUUGACUCCCACUCAUUCAAACCUCACGUGCCAAAUUUUGGCAUCAUGUUUGUAUUUAGAGCUGUUCUUAAAAUGAUGAUAUUACUUAUUUUUCAUUAUCCUAAUUUAAAACUGUACGAAGCUUUUCUCUGUCUUUCUAAUGGGAGCAUUGAUAAAAUGUUUAAAUGCCAUGCAUAUUAAGAUUAGCCUAACCUAGGAUCUUGUUAAAUUAAAGACACAUUUGUUCACUUUUAUACUCUAGAUAGAAUAAUUUAUAUUUCUGAUCAUGAAUCAAGUAUCUGAGGAUUCGUGUCCCUUUCUGUCCCUUUCAAAGAACUCCUGAAGCAACUUAACUCAAUAUUUCAGCCUUUGAGUAGAUAAAACUACCUGUACCUUCGUUAAUCACCCACAUUCUGUGACGGAAGGCUGAUACUCAUGAAUGCAGAGAAGCACCUUGUAUUUGCUAAAAGGAAUAGCAUCAAAUCUUUUCAAUAUUUUGGAACCCAGGGAAGUAUUUUAAAAAGCACUUACUUUCAGAGGAGCACAAGUAGUUACCAACUAAACAAACAAACCCUGAGGUC
rnacentral:lncRNA from 1 species